AGGAAGGAAGGAAGAAAGGAAAGAAGGAAGGAAAGGAAGGAAGGAAGGAAAGGAGGAAAGAAGAAAGGAAGGGAGGGAAGAAAAGAAAUAGUUUUAUUCUCAAGAUGCAGUGAGCUCACGAGGCAGCACUGAGACAUAAUGAAAGUAGCAGCCGCCAUAAAUCUCCAGGGCUGCCGAGGUCACUUCAGAGAAAUCGCCUGCUGAGCAAAUACACACCAGCUAAGCGGAGACAUACUGAGGGGAAAGAAAGACCAGCUGUAAUAAACACCAGCAGGUCCGCGGAGACCAGGGCCAAACCAGAUAAGGAAGCUAAAGAUUCAGGAAUGAUUUCUUUAUUUCCAUCCUGAUGUGACAGCAAAACUGGGAUUAGAACUUCUCUUCCAAUUCUUUCCAGGAGAUUCUUUAUAUUACAUCUCAUCAUAUUAUCUAAAGACAGCUUUGGCAGCUGCAUCUCUAAUAAUUAUUGCAGUGUUCUCAGAAACCUGGGCUGGAGUUUUCUGACAGUCAAGGUUUAUUGCAGCCGAAAUAAAGGAGGGUGAUUUCUU